rnacentral:misc_RNA from 1 species
UAUGAAGAACGCAGCGAAAUGCGAUACGUAAUGUGAAUUGCAGAAUUCAGUGAAUCAUCGAAUCUUUGAACGCACAUUGCGCCCUCUGGUAUUCCGGGGGGCAUGCCUGUUCGAGCGUCAUUAUAACCACUCAAGCUCUCGCUUGGUAUUGGAGUUCGCGAUCUCGCGGCUCCUAAAAUCAGUGGCGGUGCCUGUCGGCUCUACGCGUAGUAAUACUCCUCGCGAUUGAGUCCGGUAGGUUUACUUGCCAGCAACCCCCAAUUUUUACAGGUUGACCUCGGAUCAGGUAGGGAUACCCGCUGAACUUAAGCAUAUCAAUAAGCGGAGGA